GGGGCCAGGAUGGCCACGGUCCUUUUCACUGAGCACACGGAGCUGCUCUUGGGUGUUACAGGGACACGAGUAGGCAGCCAUGGACAUAGAGCCCCUCAUGAAACUGACUGACUGAAAUACUGCUCUCCGGCCCUCAGAGACUUUCAUGAAAAACUCUUCCUGAUGGAAAAAACCGGUUCACCUACCCUGUCAAGGCAAUGUGUCUGACAGCAGCAGGAGGUACAGGCGGAAUGAACGGAGGAACAAAAUUCACGGAUGUUGCCCACAUGACUUUAUUUCCCUCUUUCCCGGGCUCCUUUAUCUUUCCCUGUCCUGACAAAACUUUGGCUUCCAUGGGAAAAUCAGGGGUGUGAAGGUGGGCUUUCUGUCCAAACUGUCCUGUUGGAAGCAAAUUGAA